CGUCCGUAGGUGAACCUGCGGAAGGAUCAUU
rnacentral:rRNA from 1 species